GAGUUUGAUCCUGGCUCAGAUUGAACGCUGGCGGCAGGCUUAACACAUGCAAGUCGAGCGGGGGCUUCGGCCCUAGCGGCGAACGGGUGAGGAAUGCCUGGGAAUCUGCCUGGUAGUGGGGGAUAACGAUCCGAAAGGAUCGCUAAUACCGCAUACGUCCUACGGGAGAAAGCAGGGGACCUUCGGGCCUUGCGCUAUCAGAUGAGCCCAGGUCGGAUUAGCUAGUAGGUGAGGUAAAGGCUCACCUAGGCGACGAUCCGUAGCUGGUCUGAGAGGAUGAUCAGCCACACUGGAACUGAGACACGGUCCAGACUCCUACGGGAGGCAGCAGUGGGGAAUAUUGGACAAUGGGCGAAAGCCUGAUCCAGCCAUGCCGCGUGUGUGAAGAAGGCCUUCGGGUUGUAAAGCACUUUAAGCGGGGAGGAAGUACUUGGGGCUAAUACCCCUGAGUGUUGACGUUACCCGCAGAAUAAGCACCGGCUAACUCUGUGCCAGCA
rnacentral:rRNA from 1 species